rnacentral:ncRNA from 1 species
CCCUUGUCCUUAGUUGCCAGCCUUAAGUUGGGCACUCUAAGGAGACUGCCGGUGACAAACCGGAGGAAGGUGGGG